CAAGAGCGUAUAUUAAAGUUGUUGCAGUUAAAAAGCUCGUAGUUGAACCUUGGGCCUGGCCGUCCGGUCCGCCUCACCGCGUGCACUGGCGCGGCCGGGCCUUUCCUUCCGGGGAUCCCGGUGCCCUUAACUGGGUGCCGUGGGGAACCGGGACUUUUACUUUGAGAAAAUUAGAGUGUUCAAAGCAGGCCUUUGCUCGGAUACCGCAGCAUGGAAUAAUGGAAUAGGACGCGCGGUCCUAUUUUGUUGGUUUCUAGGACCGCCGUAAUGAUUAAAAGGGACAGUCGGGGGCGUCCGUAUUCAGCUGUCAGAGGUGAAAUUCUUGGAUUUGCUGAAGACGAACCGCUGCGAAAGCAUUCGCCAAGGAUGUUUUCAUUAA
rnacentral:rRNA from 1 species